UGAACAGUAAAACACGCAGUUACCUCUUCCAUCCACAAGACGGCGACACGAAGCUAGACUUCCUGUUUUUUUCUGUCAUGGCUCAUUUCCGCUUCCGUGUCCUUGGUUGCACUCUGUGGUAUCACGCUGCAAAAGCAUCCAGGAAAAAUGGCAAAAUUAAGUAAAGAGACCAAACAGCGGCUGCAGCAACUGUUCCAGUGUGGACAAUUCGUCAUCUGAUGGGGAUUUAUUCCUACAGUGCUGUACUUGGGCUUCAAACGAGGAGCAGAUCCAGGAAUGCCGGAGCCUUCAGUCUUGACACAUUGAAAACAUUUCCCCCCAAAAUUAACGAAUCUCAUGCCAAAUAAAUAUUUGAUGAUGAGCUGUUAAACUGGUAUCAAAGGGCAAAUGGCCGGUGUUGCAAUGCGUGCGUGUGGAAAGAUACCACUGAAUUGUUGGCAUAAUUCGAGUGAACUGCUGACAAGGGGCGACACUGAUUUGCGUCAUCCACUGCUUCUGUGUCAGCGUUUUCUCUCGUGUCUGUCUGUGCAUUAAAACUGAGAGAUUAGUGGAAUUCAAGUCGACGUUGCAAUGUGAUCAACUGCAAUUUUCAAAACCGCAAAGGCUGCAAUUUGAAAAAGAAAACAUGCGUAUAUUUAUUUAUUGAAUGACUACCAUUUCAGUCAAACUGUUUUCUAAGUUGUAAUUGAGGUAGUGCCCUUUUUUUGUAUUAACUCAUGGUUCAUUUACCUUUAUUGUGGGCAUAAGCAUAACUGAUUUAUGUGUAAUAGAUGAUUAUUGUCAUAAAGUUAAUGUAUCGCUUGUGUUUGGUAAAUAUGUAGAAAGAGAACCUUAAAAAAAAUGGCAGAUUAAGUCAAAAACAACAAUGACAUAUGUAUCGUUGGCUGUUUUUGCUUCGUUUCAGUUUACUUUGGGGUUGAAGAAGGAUGACGUGCACCUGCGUCAACAACCUCCACCCGAAGACCACGACGAGUUGGCCACAUGAAAGUCAAUGUCAGUAUAUGAAGUGUCAAUUUUGUCUGAGAUAUUUAUUUGUUAUUGUUACGACAUUGUCUCGAAGUCUGUUCCAUGUUUUUGUCAAUAAAUGUCUAACAGUAAAGCCCAUAAGUGGCCUUACGAUAUUUCAGUUUUUCAAAUAUAUAUAUACGAUGUAUUUGAAUCUCAUAAAAAGAGAUUUGUCUAGUUCAAUCUAAUAAGUGAAAUUCUCAAAAGACACCUGCCAAAGUGUUAUAAAUCAAGCAGUUCAAUUCACAAGUAAGCAAAUAGUUUUAUUCAUGUUUUAAAAAUACAUUCCGUUUAAAAAAUAAAUAUAAUUAUCAUGCCUUCAAGUAUAAAAACAAUAAUAUGUAAUAAAUAUCUUCUUUAAAUAAUUCAUACGAAGGUUUGCAAUAAAUAAGGUCUUAGAUUCACAAUGGCUUUUUUGAAUGAGCAAUAAAUAGGUUAUCUACAGAAUAAAAAAUAAAAAAAACUCAGUGCGUCAUGCAAAAACAAAUACAUCCUCAAUCCGUCAGUGGGUUACGACACGUCAGUGCAGAUCCAAGAACUUCCUUAAUUCACUUCAUGUUUUGCCCAACAUUUCCGACGGGCUUCCGUGGCGGACGUGACUACCGCAAUAAACUAAACAUGGCGAAGACCUUGGCAUGUUUUCCCCUUCGCCGUUCUUUGCGCCUCAGCGCCCUCUCGCCGUCAACAAUGAAGAUGUAGAGCAGGGGUCCCCAAACUUUUUCCUGUGAGGGCCACAUAACCUUUCCCUUCUCUGAUGGCGGGCCGGUGUCAGUUUGUAACAGAAAAAGUGUGACGAUCGUAGGGGAGCUUAAAAAAUUUAUUGUUUUCCAGAAAGCCACACAUAACCAAAUAACGGUUAUUUAAUAACCCUUUCCAGGUUCUUUACAGAAAAAAAGUCAGGAAACAGAUAAUAACACUAUUAAUGAAAUAAAUAAUAACUAAAUAACCCUCUCUGAGUUCUUCACAGAAAAAACAGGAAAUAAAUAAUAACUAAAUAACUCUCUCUGGGUUCUUCAUAGAAAAAAAAAACAUGGAACAUUAACUUUAUGUUGUGCCAUGCACAAUCUUAACAGAUAAAA